rnacentral:tRNA from 1 species
GCCCGUGUGGCGCAAUUGGUUAGCGUUUCCGACUUUUAAAACAACCACAUCUGGGUGUACCGAUCGGGCGGUUGCGGGUUCGAGCCCCGCCAUGGGCU